rnacentral:rRNA from 1 species
UGGGGAAUAUUGCACAAUGGGCGCAAGCCUGAUGCAGCCAUGCCGCGUGUAUGAAGAAGGCCUUCGGGUUGUAAAGUACUUUCAGUCGGGAGGAAGGUGGUAAGGUUAAUAACCUUAGCAAUUGACGUUACCGACAGAAGAAGCACCGGCUAACUCCGUGCCAGCAGCCGCGGUAAUACGGAGGGUGCAAGCGUUAAUCGGAAUUACUGGGCGUAAAGCGCACGCAGGCGGUUGAUUGAGUCAGAUGUGAAAUCCCCGGGCUUAACCCGGGAAUUGCAUCUGAUACUGGUCAGCUAGAGUCUUGUAGAGGGGGGUAGAAUUCCAUGUGUAGCGGUGAAAUGCGUAGAGAUCUGGAGGAAUACCGGUGGCGAAGGCGGCCCCCUGGACAAAGACUGACGCUCAGGUGCGAAAGCGUGGGGAGCAAACAGG